rnacentral:rRNA from 1 species
UACGUAGGUGACCAGCGUUGUCCGGAUUUACUGGGCGUAAAGAGCGCGCAGGCGGUCGUUCAAGUCGAGUGUGAAAGCCCCCGGCUCAACUGGGGAGGGUCAUUCGAUACUGAUCGACUCGAAGGCAGGAGAGGGAAGCGGGAAUUCCCGGGUGUAGUGGUGAAAUGCGUAGAUAUCGGGAGGAACACCAGUGGCGAAGGCGGCUCCUGGCCUGUU